CAUUUUUAGUUUUCAUUCUUAAGUUAUAUUUUGUGAUUGACAUAUAUUGUAAAAAUUGUAAGCUAGUUGUGAUGACAUAUGCUUGUAUCCCCAUACGCAGGAGCCUGAGGCAGAAUCAUCACAAUUAAGGCCAGCCUGGGGUACAAAGGAAGUUCAAGAGGACCCUGUGCUACAUAAUAAGACCCUAUCUCAAAAAUGCCCAAAGAAUUAUUCACUGAAUUCUUGAUAUUUCAUUUUUUGAUAAUGUAUUGAUGGGACUGGUGUAAUUUCACUGUGAACUUGAACAAUUGAUGCAACCGAUUGCUACUGAAUAUUCACGGCUCAGCAAACUUUUUCGUCAAUGCUGCUAGAAGAAUUAGAAAAAAUUACCUUCUGAGUAGGAUCAGCCACCUACCCAUACAAGAUGAGGAGUAUUUUUUGAAAAGAGGUGUGUCCCUGAUCAAUACAGGGCAGCUUCAGGGAGAAAGGGUAUGUAAGAAAAAUAUGGGCUUGCUUUGGCUACUGCUGUAUCAUAUUAACAAGAUGCUAUUGUGCAGGACACAAAAGGUCCACCAUAUUCAGCAGGCCUGCUCCAGC
rnacentral:lncRNA from 1 species